rnacentral:rRNA from 1 species
UACGAAGGGGGCUAGCGUUGCUCGGAAUCACUGGGCGUAAAGCGCACGUAGGCGGACUCUUAAGUCGGUGGUGAAAUCCUGGAGCUCAACUCCAGAACUGCCUUCGAUACUGAGAGUCUCGAGUCCGAGAGAGGUGAGUGGAACUGCGGGUGUAGAGGUGAAAUUCGUAGAUAUUCGCAAGAACACCAGUGGCGAAGGCGGCUCACUGGCUCGGUACUGACGCUGAGGUGCGAAAGCGUGGGGAGCAAACAGG